ACCCUUUCCAAUAAUUAAUGUCAUUUCAUUUUACAAAUUGUUGGUAAUUUUAUGUCAUUAAUGAAUACAUUAUUGCAUUUCCCCUUUAUAUUUAGAUUAAGAUUUUGUGCUUAGUCCAGAAAGCCAUAGUAGGUUACGUAGACUGUACUUUACAGCUACAUAUAAAGAUUUUGUGCUUAGUCCAGAAAGCCAUAGUAGGUUAUGUAGACUGGUAGUUUACAGUUACAUAUAAGAUUUUGUGCUUAGUCCAAAAAGCCAUAGUAGGUUAUGUAGACUGAUACUUUACAGCUACAUGUAAGUAAUAUUGACGAUUUAAUGUACUAGUACUAGUAUGUUCCUCUGGCCAUGUCAUGCAUACUUCCUUUAUUUCAUCAGAUUUAUUUAUUUAUUUUUUUUCUUUCACCAAUAUCAUCCAAAUGGUAAUGUUGUUUAAUGGUACAGUAACUGCUUAUUAAUUAUUAUUAUUAUUAUUACUAUUACAAUUCAUGGCUAUUUAUUUUGUUUUAAUCCUUAUUUUCAUUACAACACCCUUUUCUUCACCAUUAUUUGCUUCGCUAAUUAUAUCCUGUUCGGCAUCACAAAUUAUAUAUUGGUACCUUAAUCUUUUGUCUAACGGACAUUAUGAAGCACCUUAUACCAUGCAUACAUUAUUCUCUUUAUUAGUUUUGCAUUAUCUUUUUUUAUAUACAAAUUUACAAUAAUUCCUCAAAUGGAUAGGUAAUAAUGUGCUGGCUUUUGUACACUUUCAUACAAGCAUGCAUUAUUCUGAGUAGCUAGUGAAUACAACAGCAUUUUCUCAUUAUUACUGGAUCCUAAAUUGUUUGACCCUUUUCAGUAGGUAAUUAGUGCCAUUUUUAUUGUUUUUUUUUUGUAUUUUGUUAAUUAUCUCCAUGAACACUUAUUUCAUUUUCCCUUUUACAUUUAGAUUAGAUUUUGUGCAUAGCUCUAAUAGCCAUAGUAAGUUAUGGGACUGGUACAUGUACAUUUAGAGGUAAGCAACAUUGACAAAUUCAUGUAUGUUCCUCUGUCAUGUCAUGCAUGCCCUUUUUAUUUCAUUUUAUUCAUUUUUUCCACCAAUAUCAUUAUCUAAAUGGUAACGUUAUUUGUAACUGUUAUUACUCAUUACAAUGCUUGAUUAAGUUUUUUAUUAUUUUAUUUUCUUUUUAAUUCUUAUCUUAUUUCAACACCCUUUUAUUGACCAUUUCUCGCUAUGCUAAUCAUAUCCUGGCUGGUAUCACAAAUUUUAUAUUGCUACCUUAUUAUUUUGUCCUAAUUAACAUAAUGAAUUUGUUCACACCAUGCUUACAUUCUUUUAUUUUAGUAUUUAGCAUCAUAUUAUUGAACGUUCAAAUAUCAUUGCCUCAAACGGAUGAAUAUCUUCAUGCAUCUAUUAUUCAUCUAUCUGUAAUAUCUAGUGAUCUACUCUAGUUAUUUACAUAAGUUCCUCUUCGUGUGGCCGAAACCUGGCUUGGUAUCAUUGCAUAUAUUUUUCACCUUCUCUUGAAAGUUGAUUCUAUCAUGCAUGCCCUUUUAGUAAUUUGAAAUCACUGUUUUUGUUUCGUUAAUUCUUAAUUCUUUUUUGUUUUUCCUCACCUUCAUAUGCAAUACCAAUUUUUACCCAAGUUUAAAAACUAGUUUAAGUCCUGUGUUCAGUAGCUCUUGAUCAUGCCAAGCAUGCUUGCAUCAUUAUUUAACAUUCCUUGUUCGCCCUUGCA
rnacentral:lncRNA from 1 species